AGAGAUUUAGUUUAAUAAUAAAUAUAAGGUUGUCAACUUUAAGAAGCCAGUGGCAAUCUCUU
rnacentral:tRNA from 1 species